rnacentral:rRNA from 1 species
UACUACGGCCAUGCCACCCUGAACACUCCCGAUCCUGUCUGAUCUCAGAAGCUAAGCAGGAUUGGGCCUGGUUAGUACUUGGAUGGAAGACCAUCAAAAGACCAGGUGCUGUAGGCG